CUGCGUAAUACGGGUGAUUGUGUAAACAGCAUUGUGUGCGUUCCUGACUAAAAUUGUCGGAGCAAGAAAGAGCUGGGUUAAGCAGAAUCUGUAUUCAGAAGUCACGUGAGCACCUGAGAAGUGGAGAGCAGGCUGACGGAGGCGGCAGGCGUGAAGAAAAGGUCCUCGGGACGCAGCACGCCCGCGUACACGGACCAGUCUGCAGCGGUGGCGGUCCUAGGAGGAGACAGAGGUGAGGCGCACUUCCAUCAGAGGAGCACCCAGCGCGUCUGUGAGGACUCACAUGAGCGCACAGUGCGCCGCCGUGACGAUCCACCAGGGGGAUAUGACGGCUCCUCCGCAGCGAUGGGUGCCGGCCACCUGCAAACUCACCUGCCAGGGCCACGCCCCCAACGAGGCCUGCUGACUUCCAGAAAGCUGGCUGGAGUUGACUCCUGCACAAGCUG